rnacentral:rRNA from 1 species
UACAGAGGUCUCGAGCGUUAGGCGGAAUCACUGGGCUUAAAGCGUGUGUAGGCGGAUCGGUAAGUACCUUGUGAAAUCCCACAGCUUAACUGUGGAACUGCUUGGUAUACUGCCGGUCUUGAGCCAGCUAGGGGCUACCGGAACAAAUGGUGGAGCGGUGAAAUGCGUAGAUAUCAUUUGGAACGCCAAUGGUAAAAACAGGUAGCUGGGGCUGUGCUGACGCUGAGACACGAAAGCCAGGGGAGCAAACGGG